rnacentral:rRNA from 1 species
AGCGAACGUUAGCGGCAGGCCUAACACAUGCAAGUCGCACGAGAAUCCGGCUUCGGCCGGUAGUAAAGUGGCGGACGGGUGAGUAACACGUGGAUAAUCUGCCCUUCGGCGGGGGACAACAGUCCGAAAGGAUUGCUAAUACCGCAUACGUCGGCGAGCUCUUCGGAGCUUGUCGGGAAAGAUGGCCUCUUCAUGAAAGCUAUCACCGAAGGAUGAGUCCGCGUCCCAUCAGCUAGUUGGCGGGGUAAUGGCCCACCAAGGCUAAGACGGGUAGCUGGUCUGAGAGGAUGAUCAGCCACACUGGAACUGAGACACGGUCCAGACUCCUACGGGAGGCAGCAGUGGGGAAUAUUGGGCAAUGGGCGCAAGCCUGACCCAGCCAUGCCGCGUGAGUGAUGAAGGCCUUCGGGUCGUAAAGCUCUGUGGAGAGGGAAGAAACCGCUUGUGGCUAACAUCCACGAGCAUUGACGGUACCUCUUUAGCAAGCACCGGCUAACUCCGUGCCAGCAGCCGCAGUAAAAC